rnacentral:lncRNA from 1 species
GUUUAAAGCACAGGACAUCUGUCAGUUCAGACCUAUAAAUCAAUACCUUCGUCAUGUCUCUCUGUCUCUCAAGGUCCAUUCUCUCUCUCUCGUUUGCUCUCUCGCUCCCUCUCUCUUUCUCUUCUCUCUCUCUCUCUCUCUCCGUCUGUAUCUUCUCCUUGCCUGUAGCUUAGUGCUAAAUAUAUUUGCCAGUCUUAACACUUCUUCAUUUACUCCCCCCCUCUCUCUCUCUCCCUCUCUCUCUUCACCCCCUCUCCUUGUCUGUCCCUCUCUCCCUCCCUCUACCUCUCUCUCUCCUGUUAGUGUCAGAUUUCCCUGACUUCAGAGUAGUGGUUUAUAAGAAGGCAGAAUAUGAGGGGGGUGGGGUGGGGUGGGGUGGGGUGGGGGGGUUCAGUGCUCACUUACAGCAGACGAGUCACAGUCACAUUUCUUCCUUCGAGGCUCAAACUCCUGUGCUUGUGUCCAUGGUCCAUGUGGGCUCACGCGUGUGUGCGUGUGUGUGUGUGUGUGUGGGUGUUUUCUCAUGACACACUCCUCUCUACUUGCUCUGAGAACACUUGGAGGUUUGGAGUUUGUUGGGGAGAAUUUCUUUGGAGCAAAGGUAUUCCCAUCUGCUUUUAAUAACUUUGGACGUGGAGGACUUGAACUCAGACGUCGUCGGGGAUCCUACAAGCAAUCCAACAGCCACCUGGAGCCACCUGAUCUCACUCUGGCUUCUAUUUCAGCUCUACUGAUCUCUUCUCCUCUGCACUCUGCAUUCUACUCUACUCUCGGGCUAAGAGGAACCUGGAUGAAAGCAAUAGAUCUGUGGCCGGCAAGAUGGCACGCCCUCCACGCGGUGCACGACUCACACGGGUAACCAGGGCGGCCCGUCCUUCUGGGUGGCGGAGGGCUGGCGCCACCUCCGGCCCUUCCUGCCGUUUGUGCUCAUCUCCUGCCUGGUGGUGGCGCUGGUGUACCUGCUGCAGAGCAUCGUCUACGGCGGCCCCUUCACCGACCCGCUUUUCUUCAGCAAGUUCGACCAGCGCUGGCCCCGCCCCGCCCUCAACCAUACUGCCAAUCAUCAGGGACGGCCCGUGGGAGUGGAGGCUGCUGGCUUGAACUGAGGAUGGAAGGAAUACACACACAGACACACACACACACACACACACACACACGAUACAGGACUUCACACACAAACUACCACUGAGACAUGUCAUCUGCACUGCUGAGCCUCUAUCACCACGGACACACACACACAUCAUCCAUCUUCUGGACCUGUGUGAUCUCUCACACACACAAGAUACUGGAUCUCACAUGCAUGCUAACACUGGGAUAUGGGAGUUAUCCCCACUGCUAGACCUUUGUGAUCGCACACACACACACACACACACACACACACACACACACACACACAAGCUUACACUGGGAUAUGGGAGUUAUCCCCACUGCUAGACCUUUGUGAUCGCACACACACACACACACACACACACACACACACACACACACACACAAGCUUACACGGGGAUAUGGGAGUUAUCCCCACUGCUAUACCUUUGUGAUCGCACACACACACACACACACACACACACAAGCUUACACUGGGAUAUGGGAGUUAUCCCCACUGCUAGACCUUUGUGAUCGCACACACACACACACACACACACACACACACACACACACACACACACACACACACAAGCUUUCACUGGGAUAUGGGAGUUAUCCCCACUGCUAUACCUUUGUGAUCGCACACACACACACACACACACACACACACACAAGCUUACACGGGGAUAUGGGAGUUAUCCCCACUGCUAUACCUUUGUGUUCGCACACACACACACACACAAGCUAACGCUGUGAUGUGGACUCCCCAUUCCCCACUAUGAUUCUUGUUUUCUGAUGAUUUCCAUAGAAGCCAACAUGCUUGUUCUAAGUUGGGCGCUAGUUCUAAGUGAUGGUAUUGAACAUGUCAAACAUGUGAUGUUGAAAUGAUUAUUAUCACUCAAAAUUCCUAAAGGUUUAUGAUGUAAGGAAGUAUGUUGUUAGUCUGACCCAUGUGAGGUCUGUUUGUGUUUUUGGUGUUUGGUAACUAAACAGUUGACAUGCAGUUCCCGUUCAGUAAAGCCUCAGAAUUGCUAGCAAAGCAUGGACAACCUCAUUACUGAAAUAUUACCCUUAUUAUUUUGCAUGCUUUCAUAAUAAAUAGAAAUGGUUUUAGUAUGACGUUGAUUUU